AUCGAACGCUGGCGGCAGGCUUAACACAUGCAAGUCGAGCGAGCGGCGGAUGGGUGAGUAAUGUCUGGGAAACUGCCUGAUGGAGGGGGAUAACUACUGGAAACGGUAGCUAAUACCGCAUCCCAUCCGAUGUGACCAGAUGGGAUUAGCUAGUGGGUGGGGUAAUGGCUCACCUAGGCGACGAUCCCUAGCUGGUCUGAGAGGAUGACCGGCCACACUGGAACGGAGACACGGUCCAGACGCCUACGGGAGGCAGCAGUGGGGAAUAUUGCACAAUGGGCGCAAGCCGGAUGCAGCCCUGCCGCGGGUAUGAAGCAGGCCUUCGGGUUGUAAAGCACUUUCAGCGAGGAGGCGUUACUCGCAGAAGAAGCACCGGCUAACUACGUGCCAGCAGCCGCGGUAAUUC
rnacentral:rRNA from 1 species